UACGUAGGGUGCAAGCGUUGUCCGGAAUUAUUGGGCGUAAAGAGCUCGUAGGCGGUUUGUCGCGUCUGCUGUGAAAACUCGGGGCUUAACCCCGGGCCUGCAGUGGGUACGGGCAGACUAGAGUGCGGUAGGGGAGACUGGAAUUCCUGGUGUAGCGGUGAAAUGCGUAGAUAUCGGGAGGAACACCAGUGGCGAAGGCGAUCUUCUGGACGGAUACUGACGUUGAGGCGCGAAAGCUAGGGGAGCAAACAGG
rnacentral:rRNA from 1 species